rnacentral:tRNA from 4 species
GACCCCUUCGUCUAGCGGUUAGGACUCAAGAUUUUCAUUCUUGCAACACGGGUUCGAGUCCCGUAGGGGUCACCA